rnacentral:rRNA from 1 species
AUUGAACGCUGGCGGCAGGCCUAACACAUGCAAGUCGAGCGGCGCGUCGGCCGGGUGAGUACUGCCUAGGAAUCUGCCUGGUAGUGGGGGAUCACGUCCAGAACAGGGCGCUAAUCCCGCCUACUAUCCGCUGAGCCUAGGGGGGAUUAGCUAGUUGGGGGGGAAAAGGCCUACCAAGUCGACGAUCCGUAACUGGUCUGAGAGGGUGAUCAGUCACACUGGAACUGAGACACGGUCCAGACUCCUACGGGAGGCAGCAGUGGGGAAGAUUGGACAAGGGGCGAAAGCCUGAGGCAGCCAGGCCGCGUGUAUGAAGAAGGUCUUCGGAUUGUAAAGCACUUUAAGUUGGGAGGCGUUACCAACAGAAGAAGCACCGGCUAACUGCGUGCCAGCAGCCGCGGUAAUAC